rnacentral:misc_RNA from 1 species
UCUUGCAACAUCUCCUGGCAUGUUAGAGACAAAGCCACCUCUGUCCUCAAUACUUCCUCGCUCGGUGUUUGGCUCGUGAUCAAUAGACAUUUGCACCUCCUGCCCUUUUUUCGAAAGGACUGCACGUGAAUCUCCAACAUUAGCCACCCAUAAUUUCUGACCGUUUAUCAAAAUUGCAGUGACAGCGGUGGAUCCACCUCUUCCUAAGUCAGGACUGUGUGAGAGUAUUGCUUGGUCUGUCUUCUCGUAAGCCUUAAAGAUAGAGCUACCGGGAUUCGACCAGAAUUCCUCAUCCUUCAGUAUAUUAGGAAAUAGAUGCUUCUGUAGAUAGGCAGGUACGCUAUCUCCUAAAUGUCCAUCAUAUAUAGCAAAAAGGCCUAGCUCCCGG